CGAAUAUGACAUAAAGAAAAUUGUACACAGAUGUUAUAAAUGAAGGUAUGUCUGUGCCACAAUAUUUUUUAUUUUCAGGAGAACCCAAAAUUGGACUGCUACCAAUCUGAGUAAACAACAGCGACAAAAAAAGGUAUACAGGUAGUAGCGGAACUGCUUGGUCAGAUGAUAAAUGCUAACUGCUGGCUCAUAUGCGUAACUUCUUGUGGAACUUGCAACUGUGUUCUGAAGUGGCUGUACCAUUUUAUAUGCUCACUAGCAGUGUUGGGAAGAAUUUCCAAUUUCAAAGGCAGUGAAAUUGAAAAUAACUACUUGGCUUUGGGGCUGGCGGAUGGUCCACCUGCAGAUCCUCUCUGCCGGAUACACGUUAGGAUGAAAAGCGAGACAAACCUACUAGUUCUUGGAAACCAGGAAGCAGGAAACACAGAGAAAGAUACCACCCCGCUCUCUCUCAACCUCCAGGGCUCCACUCUCCUCUGCUAAGACUGUAGUCUCUUGUAUUUUGCCCAUUAGAAGAUGACAAGAAGGAAGAAAAACAGCCAAAUAGCAUCAGAGCAAGCUAAAGUGGGCCAUUCCCCAGGGCCUCACUAAUGAAAUUCAAGGAUUUUAGCAAGGAGAAAGGCAGCUGCAGUCCAAAUGUUUUAAGAGGAACUUAUAGGGCUCAAGGGCCCUAAACCUAGAAGGUACAAUUGAUUUUGGCGGCGUUUCUCUGUCUCUGUGGAAAUGAAAGCUUAUUAAAUCUGAAAGCCUGUAUUCUCUCUGGAUCCUGGACAUGACAAUACCUUAACCACAGAUCCUCUGAAAGAGAUAAAUAAAGUUCAUCAAAUGCUCUAAAGUGUCUCGGAUAUUGUUGCAGCCCACUCUACAUUCAAUAUGUAGGACUCGUAAAUUUGUACCUCCCCACAACAGCAGCAAUAACAACAACAACAACAACAACCCCUUUUUCUUUUGUGCACAGGCACUAGGAUAGACUGUAUUAUUUUUCCUAAUUAUUUACGUCCUUCCCUGUCAUGGGAUCUAACAUCUCAGCUCAUUGCCAUGUGACUUACAAUGCCACCCCACGAAGAAUGAAAACUUAUUCCUCCCAUUGACUGAGCUUGGCCAUAUGGUUUGCUUUACCCAACACAAUGUGAGUGGAAGUGAUAUGCCAUCUCCAGGAAGAAGCUUUGGGAGUCACUGAAGGAGUCAACUAUCUUCUCCUUUCUUUUCUUACAAGGUCAAGAGCCUGGGUCCCAGGGACAGAUGGGAUAGGGUGAGCAGAUCAGCAGAACUGCCAGCGACCCCCAAAACCAACAUGUUUACAUGGGCAAAGAAUAAAUGUAUACUGUUGUAAGCCACA